AUUGAACGCUGGCGGCAGGCCUAACACAUGCAAGUCGAACGAGUGGCGGACGGGUGAGUAAUGUCUGGGAAACUGCCUGAUGGAGGGGGAUAACUACUGGAAACGGUAGCUAAUACCGCAUACCAUCGGAUGUUCCCAGAUGGGAUUAGCUUGUUGGUGGGGUAACGGCUCACCAAGGCGACGAGCCAUAGCUGGUCUGAGAGGAUGACCAGCCACAUGGGCACGGAGACACGGUCCAGACUCCUACGGGAGGAAGCAGUGGGGAAUAUUGCACAAUGGGCGCAAGCCUGAUGCAGCCAUGCCGCGUGUGUGAAGAAGGCCUUCGGGUUGUAAAGCACUUUCAGCGGGGAGGCGUUACCCGCAGAAGAAGCACCGGCUAACUCCGUGCCAGCAGCCGCGGUAAUAC
rnacentral:rRNA from 1 species